rnacentral:tRNA from 1 species
GCCAAUUUGGCUCAGUGGAUAGAGCAUCAGCCUGCUGACUGAAGGGUCCCGGGUUCGAUUCCGGGCAAGGGCA